CAUUGCCCUGAGGCAGUGUCUAGAAAACAAAAUGGUGGUUUCACCCCCUGUUUAUCUGAAAAUGUCAUAAAUUGGCAGAAUGAGAUUGGGAAGAUGCUGAUGUGGAAGACAGGAAGGUUCUUCAUCAGACUGCAGGUGUCUGCUUGCCAACUAUAUACAGAUAAGACAGCUGCCUGGGCCUCGGUUGCUUGGCAACAUGUCCUUGGGUUUGGCACGAACACCUUCAACAUUUGCUCUCCUGACCUUGCAACUCAACAGGACAUAACAGCAGCAAGCAGUCAAGGAUUAUUUCCUCCAAGAAAAGCCGGCUUAACUAACUGAGAUGACAACCUUUCCUGUAGAUUUACGCUGCAUCACAUAUGCAAAGGCUUCGUUUACCUGCAAAGCAAUUCAAACACAGAGGCACUAGAAGUUUUGCAAAGUGUACAUAUAUUUCCGCAGCAAUAUCUAAACACUGAUUGUGCAACAAAUGCAUAAACAGAUCACAUUUUCCAAAAAUGCACUGUGAUUAAUUCUUCAGGCCCAUUGUCAGCAGUGUGGCUGCUAAGCGGCUUUUAGGGCAGCCAUUUUUAGGACUCUUAGGGCAGACCAUGCCACUUGACUAACUAGGCUGGGGAAGCCAAAGGCUACCACAUUGUUCCUGAGCAUGGAAAUGGGCUUGUCUGCUGUUUUUUAAGACUGAAGAUGGCUUUUACAGUUUUAUUUUGUUCUGUCAUACAUUUGACUAUGUGAUUUGUAAACUCUUGGAUUUUUUAAAUUAGGAGUGGUACAUAAAUGAAUUUAAUAAAUAAACAAAAUAUAUGCCAACCAGAUGGCAUAGGACUUGGGACUUCUUCAGAUAUGGUAUCAUGAAGAAGCUAGGUUGUGCAAGGUCAGAAAUAACACCCCCUCAAAGAGGGUGUAAAACAGCUUUCCCCAAUCUGGUGUCCUCCAGAUGUUUGGGACUACCAACUCUGAAACAUCUGGAGGGCACCAGGUUGGAGAAGGCUCAUCUACAGUGACUGCAAGAAUUUGAACAUCUCCCCUGGCUGAGUCCAGUCUGGUAUGGCUGUCCACAUUCCCUCUGAAAGCCAAUGGACAGAACGCUGAACUUUGACCUGGGAUAAAAUUAAAAAUAAAAGUGAGAGUAAGUAUUGAUCCUGUGCACCCAGUAUUGUACUGGCCACAUCACCUGGAGAGGAAUGGCAGAGACUGCAAAACCCAUUUUACUUCAGAAAGCAACCCAUUAAAAAAGCUCCCAGUGAAAAAUCUGUAAAUUCGGGUCAAUAUUAAAUGCGCAAGGAAAUACUUUUGCUCUGAGGGUAAAGGAGAGAGGGAUUAUGUUUAGAGCUCCUUCUAAUUUUGUAAUAAUUAGUUAGAGAUGAGUAUUAUACAGCCAUGAGAGUGGCUGUAUACUGUAGCCAGCAUGGAUUUUUCACAUUCCACAAUGUUAAAUGGAAAAUACCCCCCAUGCCCAUUCUGAUGCUUUCCAUAACCUCAUUUCAAAACAAAACCUUACAAAACUUAUAGUCCUGAACUCAGAAGUGCUUGCUUAACAAUCCUCUAAAUUUUCAGGGCGAUACACAAAACAUUCAGAGAGAAUCGAGAGCUGAAAGUGUAAAAAGAGAGAGAGAAAAAACAGAUCCCUUUUGGACUUUUUUCUGUCAGAGUUCUCAUAAUUUGUUGAAAUUAAUUAAAAAUCAGCCGUAUUCACAGAGUACCUGUAAUCCUAUUACUGACCUUGCCCUGUACUCCAACCUUCAUCUUCUGCAGUUUAAAAGUUAAAAAAAAUGCCUGGCUGGUUUUUAAUUAAUUUAAGAAAUUUUACAUUGAAUUCAGUGAUAAAGUCGAGCAUGCUCAGUAAGAACCGUCAGCGUUCUAAAAGCCAGACUCACAGCUGCUUGGCUUGGCUAAUCAGGGGCCACACCCACGCCAGAACUUUAUUUCACUUGAGACAGUCAUGGCUUCCCCCAAAGAAUCCUGGGAAGCGUAGUUUGUGAAGGGUGCUGAGAGGAGACUCCUGUUCCCCUGACAGAGCUCCAGUGGCCGGAGUGGUUUAACAGUCAGUCACUCUGAUUGAAGGCCUGUGAGGGGAACAGGGCAUCUUCUAGCAACUAUCAGCACCCUUCACUAACUACACUUUC